rnacentral:misc_RNA from 1 species
UACGUAGGAUGCGAGCGUUGUUCGGAAUUACUGGGCGUAAAGCGUACGUAGGCGGUGAUAUAAGUCAGAUAUUAAAGACUGAAGCUCAACUUCGGGAAUGUAUCUGAAACUGUAUCGCUAGAGGGUAAUAGAGGAAGUUGGAAUUCUCAGUGUAGCGGUGAAAUGCGUAGAUAUUGGGAAGAACACCAGUGGCGAAAGCGGACUUCUGGGUUACUACUGACGCUGAGGUACGAAAGCGUGGGGAGCAAACGGG